CCUACGGGUGGCAGCAGUGGGGAAUAUUGGGCAAUGGGCGCAAGCCUGACCCAGCAACGCCGCGUGAAGGAAGAAGGCUUUCGGGUUGUAAACUUCUUUUAAUGGGGAAGAGCAGUAGACGUUACCCCUUGAAUAACCCACGGCUAACUACGUGCCAGCAGCCGCGGUAAUACGUAGGUGGCAAGCGUUGUCCGGAUUCACUGGGUGUAAAGGUCGUGCAGCCGGAGAGACAAGUCAGAUGUGAAAUCCACGGUCUCAACCCGAGAACUGCAUUUGAAACUGUUUACCUUGAGUGUCGGAGAGGUAAUCGGAAUUCCAUGUGUAGCGGUGGAAUGCGGAGAUAUAAGGAAGAACACCAGUGGCGAAGGCGGAUUCCUGGACGAUAACUGACGGUGAGGCGCGAAAGCGUGGGGAGCGAACAGGAUUAGAUACCCUGGUAGUC
rnacentral:rRNA from 1 species